rnacentral:rRNA from 1 species
CAACUUUCAACAACGGAUCUCUUGGUUCUGGCAUCGAUGAAGAACGCAGCGAAAUGCGAUAAGUAGUGUGAAUUGCAGAAUUCAGUGAAUCAUCGAAUCUUUGAACGCACAUUGCGCCCUUUGGUAUUCCAAAGGGCAUGCCUGUUCGAGCGUCAUUC